UACAAUUCUUGCCCCAAAGAGCUUGUGAUCUGUAAUUUAAGACAAGGCACAAGUGAUGGUAAGAAAAUAAUUGGAGGCAGCAGAUGACGGAGGAAAGAUGAGGAUAGCAAUAAUAUCCUGAACAUACAGAGGUAUCGCAGCAGAUAGGGUUUUGAAGAGGAGGAUAUUGUGGCUGCUCAGAGAAUGCAUUCUACAUAUAAGUUGCUGCAUGGAAGAAAGUGCAGAAACGUGUGGGAGAAGUGGACAAAUGGGCAACAUUGUGAAGUGGAGAGCAUAUCAGCAUGGAUUCAGUGUCAUCCACUUCAUUGGUUCUGCUGAGAUGUGAAGUACUGCUACAAUGUUUACUACUGUUGUUAAUUUAAUAUCUACACCUUUAAUAACCUGACUGCUGUCAUUCGCUGAACAAUGAUACAUGAUGGCCAGUGAAGAGCCAGAUAGACGGCAUUAACUUGACAGCAUAGCAGACCAUUUGGUACAGUUAAUUAGAGCACUUCUGGGCAAAGUCGCUG